rnacentral:misc_RNA from 1 species
GCGCGCGAGACCCAACUACUGCAUGAUGCGCAUUAGGAACAAGCACACGCGGUAGCGAACACGGUCAACGAGCCUAACGACACAGGGCCAAACGACGAACGUAUUUGACGAGGUCGACGACGCAACGGGAAUUAAGACCAAACGAAGAAAAUUCGGGCGCGCGACAGAGACGAAGACCGAGCGCGGUAGGGAGAACCGCCACGAGCUGGAACAAUCAGAGAGCCAGCGAGCUGCUCGGCAUGGGAAAUCAAGGGCGCGCGCGGCACCGGAGAGAGGAACGCGUGUCGGCGAGCAGAGCAGACGCGCGACUGGGCUGGGCGAAACUUGAAGGAUGGUCGAGCUGGGCGAGCUGAGGAAGAAGAAGCGCGCGCACGGAGCCAAGCUCGACAGGACGCGGCGACUAGGAACUCUAGCCAGGCGAGCUCGAGCAGAGGGCCAGAGGCGCGCAGGCUGGGAACACGGCUAGGCGUACAUCGCGGGGAAGAUGAGUAGAGGAAAGGAGAGAUCCGUGCGCAGGGAAGCUUCAGGGAGGAACUUGACGGCGGCCAUGGCAGAGAAGGAGUUCGACGAAAAUGAGCGCACCAGCCAUGGUGAGCAGAGGCUGCGCGCGAUGGGAUUUUAUCCCCGAGCUAAAGCAGCACGGCGUGGGAGAAGAAGGGAUCAAGGGAGGCUGGGCACGGCAUGCUGGGAGAUAAGCACCACGCGCCCAAAAGAUCAACAGAACGGCGGCAGGAAAAUCAGAGCAGAGGCAGCUGGAUCUUCUUCUAUCAGCGGCGGUGACAGAUUUUUUUUUGAAGAACCCAGGGGCGGCGGCUGGGCGUUGGGGCUGGAAUUGGAGCAGCAGUCGGCGGCGGCAUACAAGAGAGCAGUGAGCGCGCAGAGGAUAAGGAAG